rnacentral:tRNA from 1 species
UUCUGGAUAGCUCAGUUGGUUAGAACGUGGUGCUGAUAACGCCAAGGUUGCAGGUUCAAUCCCUGUAUCGGACA